rnacentral:rRNA from 1 species
CAGCCCGCUCCCGGUAAAACGGGACGGCCCGCCAGAGGACCCCUAAACUCUGUUUCUAUAUGUAACUUCUGAGUAAAACCAUAAAUAAAUCAAAACUUUCAACAACGGAUCUCUUGGUUCUGGCAUCGAUGAAGAACGCAGCAAAAUGCGAUAAGUAAUGUGAAUUGCAGAAUUCAGUGAAUCAUCGAAUCUUUGAACGCACAUUGCGCCCGCCAGUAUUCUGGCGGCAUGCCUGUUCGAGCGUCAUUUCAACCCUCAAGCACAGCUUGGUGUUGGGACUCGCGUUAAUUCGCGUUCCCCAAAUUGAUUGGCGGUCACGUCGAGCUUCCAUAGCGUAGUAGUAAAACCCUCGUUACUGGUAAUCGUCGCGGCCACGCCGUUAAACCCCAACUUCUGAAUGUUGACCUCGGAUCAGGUAGGAAUACCCGCUGAACUUAAGC